rnacentral:misc_RNA from 1 species
UGUACACUUUUUUGAAAGUUAUGUAGCCGGAGCUGUGCCGUGCCCUGAUAGCGCCGGAAUACCAGACAUUGACUGCUGCUGCUUCACCAGUCGGGGACACACUCCUGCGAGUCGUGUGCACUCGUAGCCCUUCUCCUUUCAUCAGAGCACUUUGACUUUCGGCAUGAAUGAAAGAUGGAGGAGAUGCCAAGGUGGGGGAGAGGGGGGGUAUAGCGUUGAGUAAAGAGCGAGUCAGCAUGUGGGCGGGUGAGCGGGCGCAUGCAGAGAGGAGUUCUUGCCGACGGGCGUUGCUUAACUAUCUCUUUCGAUCCUUCUUUGAGGCAGAGAGACCGGGAAGGGCUGUUGUCUUGCAGGGGAGACAUAAGCGAAAAAUGCAUAUGCAGCCGAAUUAAACACGGAUCUGCGAGACGUACUUCAGCUUUCGUGAGAUCCGCCAGUGUUUUGCAAGAUGAGGGAAGCCGCUUACUGUACGGGGAAGGACAAGGCGAAGAGGAGGGGCUGCGAGGUAAUGGCGCCGCGGAAAAGAGUCUUGAGCUUGCACCCCAUGUUCGGGUGUUUGCCUGUGAGUAGUGUGUGUGCGUAUGAAGGAGGAGGGGGAGUAGGUACGCACUUCACUCUCGCCCUGGAGUAAGCCUCCCAAACCGACGCGGCGCGUUUUCGUUUCAGCCCUUGCGAGUUUAAGAAAAUUGGCGUGUACCGUGGGUAUUCGCGUGCGGGAAUGCUGCUGCUGCUGCUGUCGUUGAUGCGAGUGCUGCAAAUGCGCAGAAAAGGGCACGAGAGCGAGCUGAUGAUGAACAAACUUCGUAGGGUAAAAUCUGAUCAUUCCGACCAUGACGUUAUGGAAGUACUGCACCGAAAGUGCAGCCCCGCGCCCACAUCGCCUCCUUUCGGAGGCGGUAUGCUGGGUGAGCGUGGUGCCGUCUGAUAGCCGCCGUGUAGUAACGUAUCGCUUGUGAGUGCCGUGGAUGGAUUGUGGAUAGUGCCGGAAGUGGUAGGCUGAGGGAAAGAGGCCUGGCGACGGGGCUUGUCGCCGCGGAGCCCAACACGCUGUUGGCUAGAGCUGCUGCCGCUGUUGUCAUCGAGCGUAGCUCAUCGCUUGCGGCCACCCGUGACAAGGAUGGCGGGGAGAGGGCUACGAUGCGCCGGCCAAAAGAGAUACGAUUUCUCUUUGUUUUCGCGGGUGACGCGCUUAUUGCAUGCUAGUCGCAGCGCUCGACUGUGAAUACCCCUUCCUCCCCAACAAAAACGUACACACAAACACACAAGCGAAGCAAGUAAAAUAAGUAAAAUACUUAUCUGUGUCGUCCAUGUGGCCUAUCAUCAACUGAUAGAAUCAGCAGGUCUUCACGCACUGUAAGAGCCCGCGCCGAUGCCCGCCAUCACUGCCAUUAGCGUGGACUGGCUGACCUGCUUAUCUUGCUCGCUCGCUCUCCACCGCGCACUCGCCCAUGGUGGUUCCCUCCCUCUUUCACGCUUCUUCUGGCACCUCUCCACGGCACACAG